UACGUAGGGGGCUAGCGUUGUCCGGAAUCAUUGGGCGUAAAGCGCGUGUAGGCGGUCCGGUAAGUCCGCUGUGAAAGUCGGGGGCUCAACCCUCGGAUGCCGGUGGAUACUGUCGGGCUUGAGUACGGAAGAGGCGAGUGGAAUUCCCGGUGUAGCGGUGAAAUGCGCAGAUAUCGGGAGGAACACCAAUUGCGAAGGCAGCUCGCUGGGACGUUACUGACGCUGAGACGCGAAAGCGUGGGGAGCAAACAGG
rnacentral:rRNA from 1 species